UGUAAAGUGCCUGAACAAAAGGAUAAUUUUGAUAGAAUUAAUAAUGUAUUAAAUACCUUUACAA
rnacentral:tRNA from 1 species